GAAAGCACACGUCAACAACCAGAGUGGGACGAUGGUACCAAGAUAGCCAGCUGCCUGGUCUGAAACACCCUCUUAAAUCAUUGCAUCAGGACUAGAGGGAAGUGCUGCUCCCGCAGAUGGACAGGCUCUGGGGUGCCUGAGCCAAGGCAGAAACACAGGGGCCUGGAACAUCCUCUUGGGGACUGCAGUGUCUUCUCAAAGGAGAACAUGCUGCUGCAUUACUAGCCUUCAUGCAGACAACUAUACUUGGAUGAGAAAAAAGCAAUGUUCGUGUGUGACAGUCUUCUAGGAAUCCUAUAGAGCAAAUGCUUUGGUUCUGGCCUGCCCCUGCAGAGGGCAUCCCUGCAGUCACGCAGAGCUGCUGUGAACCAUCGUGCUCACUAGGACUCAGGGUUCUGAAAAUUCAUCAGGAUGUGAAUGGAAGUUUUGUUUCUACGCAAGAAAUGCUGGCAGCUAGAACAUCUCUUUUCUCUCAGCACAUCAACACUCCGCACCGCAAAUUACUGGCCUAGACCUCCUGCAGAAUCAGCUACCUUAACGCUUUGGCUGCCAGUCUCUGUGGUUCAGGAAUCUUGACAUGGCUUAGAUGGGUCCUCUGCUUCAGGGUCUCUCAGAAGGCUGCAAUCAAGGUGUCAGCCAGAACUGAGGUUUCUUCCAGAGGCUCAACUGGAAAAGUAUCUACUUGCAAGCUCACAUGGUUGUUGACAGGAUCAGAUCCUUACAAGGUAUUGGACCGAGGGCCUCAGUUCUUGACCAGUUGUUGUGCAGAGGAUGCCCUCAAUUUCUUGCCACUUCAGUAUUUCUGACUUGCUUCAUCAAAGCCAGUAAGGGAGAGAGUCAAUAGAAAGAGUCUGCUCACAAGAUGGAAGUCACAAUCUGAUGUUUAUUAUCAUCAGUGUUGUCAUAUUCCAUUGUUUAAAGCAAGUUACUAGGCCUUGCCUGUACUCAAGGGGAGAGGAUUAUACAUGGACGUGAAUACCAGGAGGUGGAUGUCCUUGGGGGUCAUGUCAGAAAUUGCCUUCUACAUUCCCUAAGGUCCACUGUCCAACAGCUUUAUCAAAAAUCAUAAGGGUGAUAUCUGUAUCCCCAUAGGCUUGACUCCAGUGCCCAUUUCUUCAUUGGUUCUGAUAUCAGGAGCUGAAAAAAGAUGCUAUUUAUUGGGCCCCCUCAUGGCACCAAUACCCUCCCUGAGAUUGCUCAACUCACAGUGGGACAGCCUCUCCGUGGCAAGGAAGCCCUGGCUGAUCAUGAAGCCCCUUUCUUGACUAUGCAUUUUCCCAGUGUGAGGCGGGAUCUUGCUGGGGUAACCCUAACCUGUAGCCAGCAUGCACUGCACUUAUGCUCACAGGAACUUGAGAGAAUUUGCCCCACAUCCUCAUCUGGGCCUGUGGUCUCACAUAACCACAUGCUAAGGCCAAAGGUAUACUUGUCAUGCCAGCUCUCAAGAGACAGAAAUACUAAAGACUCAUGUGACUCUGGAGGAAUGUCCCUGAUUGUGCGAUGCCAAAAUUCAAACUGUGUCUCAGUCACAGGAAAGCACUGAGAAGUGUGCCAUGUACUUAUCACCACAAAGGUCCUGUCCACACUGAAGCAAAUCCAAAGGAUAGGCUUCACUGAAUUACACAAGUCCCCCUGUGCUCGGGAAGCAUUCUCAAGUGCCAUGUGUAAGACAGUGACAUUUACACGUUGGGGAAGGGCUCCAGAGCUAAAUUGGAAGCAGCUAAGCAUCACUUGGGACAUUUGUACACCCCGUUCCUCUAAGACAUUGAAAUUAAUAGGCUCUAAUAAAACAAGAGCUAAUUGUUUGUAAAGUGAAAGCUACGUAAGCCCACCACGAGAGCAGAGACUGCGCUAUUAUUCCCUUAUUGCCAGGACCAGUAUAUCGCCAUAUGCGUAGGAUGUUUUAUAGGUAUGUAUUUAGUUGUUUGAUUGACUGCUAAGUGUUUGUUGUUUGGCUAUUAACAAUCUUUCCAGUUCUUCAUUUCACCUAUAUUACAAUACAUGUGAAUGCCAUGUAAGAAUUCUAUACAGACAAGAAGUCAUUCUGUAGUUUUUUUAUUAUUUAAUAAAAAAUCUGUAUCAAGAUUACCAAGAUGAGAACCUCAACCAACAAAGGCUCAAUUGUAUGCAUAGGUCACGGCAGCAUGUGGUGCUGAGUGCUAAGCAUUUUGUGUACAAAUAAGAAAAGAAGGUCUCAAGAGAAAUCUCACGUAGUUUAGAUUAUACCAUGGCUUGGAAAAUGCUAGACCUUUUGGUUAUAUACCUUUAGAAGAUACAGAGCAGUUCUCUAGGAAACUGUGCUACGUUGAAAUUUCAAGAAGCCAUGUCCUGUUUAUAGCAUUGCAUUCAACCUAGAGUUGGACCAUCUUCCAUCUUCUAGAGCAAAGCUGUCCAGUUGUACUUAUCACCUGUCCAUCUUCUAGAGCAAAGUUGUCCAAUUGAUGUUUCUGAGAUUAUGGAAAUGUUCUCUUCUGUGCUACUCAGUACCGCAGCCACUAGCCAUGGGUGGCUAUUGAGCACUUAAAAUGUGGCUAGUGAGAAUAAGGACUGAAUUUUUAAAUUAGAUUGAAUUAAACUUAAAUUACCACAUGUGGCUACUGGCUACUAUAUCAGACAGCACAGUAGUGGAGAUUUGCUACCCAAAGUAUGGUCUGGGCACCAGCAGCUUUGGCAUCACCUACUGCAUUUCUACUAGAAAUGCAGAGUCGCAGAUCUACAUACAGAAUCCACAUUUUAACAAGAUUCCCAGGUGAUUGGCAUACUUCUCAGAAUUUAUGAAAUGCUGCUCUAAAAUAUUUCUUUAUAAGGUUGGCUCUGAUUUUUUUCUUUUUGAACAAAGAAACUACAGAAUAUACUAUUCCUCUAGUCCCCUUCUUAGGGAGAUACCAAGGUAGAGGGGUGGCUCCUUUUAGGUACUACAAGGAGAGAACCUAUAUGAGAAUUGAUCCAAGUAGAACCUGAGUCUGCAGACUGAAAACGAAGUUGCCAUUUUUUGACCAUCUGACUCAAGCCUUACCUGAAGCCAGCCCUACACACUGUUCUCAUUGUACAUUGUACUAGUUGAUAAAUUACUCCUUUUGACUAAGGAGUAGUCGGUUGUAAUUAUAGUCUGUCGUGGUAGUUCAACUAUCUAACUUCUGGGAACAAGUGAGUCCUAAAAGAUAAACCUGUUCACAAAGGAAAAUCCUCAGAGGAAAAAGGAAAAAUUGGCUGAAAAUGCAACUAAUGUGGCAUAAGAAUGUUUUUGUGAAUAUUAAACGUCCCUACUUUCUUUCUUCUCUAUAAUGUAUAGAUUUCUUAAAUAUAUACAUAGAUCAGAAAUAAACAUACAUAACAAGCUUUUUAGUAAACAUUAAAAAAUUAACUGAUGAUCAUCGGUCUCAGUUAUUCCUAUUAAUUUGAUAGGAAUAACAUUAUCUAUCACUUUGAAAAGCCACAAGAUUUCCAAAUGUACAAUUUAACUACUUAGUGCUUCUGUUUUACAGAUUCAGCAGGAAUUUAAUUUUAUUAUGUAAGGAGUGAUAGAAAUUAGGGUGCACACUCUUAACUAUCUUGUCUUAUUAUUAAAAUCUGACUCCUAAAAGGAAAACUUUGAGAACAGAAGAAAUAAGGAAAAAACUUGAGGGAUUCCCUAAAAUGAAGAAACAAAAUUUAAUUAUACUGAAUACAGUCACUGUAUGACAUAUGUUAAUAUGUCUGUGUUGUUUCUUAUUAGUGAAACAAUGUUUGGAUCUGAGUUAGAAUCUAUUUCAUAUAAGAUAUUAGUUGGAGUAAAACAUAUAAGUAGCAAUGAUAAAUCAUUGUCAGGGUUUCUGACAGUGCAUAAUGUAAUACCAGGCAUAGAAUGGCAUUCUAUCUUGAGCCACUUGAACCACUUACACCCCUAAAGGAGAUGCCAGUCACAUGUCCUAAAUCACAAGUUUCUGCCACACCAGAGACUUCCAGCAUACCAUUGCUUUUUGGAGACUUUAUGCAAAAAUGCAAGUGAACAUGGAUUCAUUUUAACAUGGGUCUUUUUUAGAGGAAUCUAAGUGUUCUGUAUCAAAUCAGGAAUGGGAUUUGCAGCCAAUGAAGAUGGGGGAAAAAAAGACAGCUUAUCCCUUACUGCUGGCAAAGCCAAUUAGGCAUAUCUUUGUUUCAUGACAGCUAUAUAAAGAAUUGGGGAGUAGAGAGUGUGGGCAUUUGAUAUGGAUGUGCAAACUAAUUCUUUCUGUUGGCUCUCAUAAACAACUUAGUAGAAUAUCCGGUAGAUGUUUUUUGGCCUCACUUCCCCAAACCAUGUAAGGAAAUGCAAUUUAAUACAUGCAGUGGUUUUCUGUCUCCUACCCAAAAAAAUACAAGAGCUUCUUCAAGUAGAGUAUUUAAGAUGUGUUGAGAUAUCAUUUCUGAUUCAUUGGAUUAUUCAAUAUGAAACCAAAAUCAAACUCACAUUUGUAUUAUGUGCUUGACUUUCUGCAUUUCCGCCCUCUACUAGCAAGACAGAACUGUUCAGUAUACAAAUUCAGCACCAACAUGAAUUUUGUGAUUGCAAUUUUAUGUAUUUUAUUGUGUUUAAAGUUGAACAAUUUAUUUAUUGAUCUGUCUCGUCUACUAGAUGGUGAGUUCUUGGACAACAAGGCUUCAUUUGUGUCUGCUUUGCCAGCACUACCCACCCACUGGGAACUGAACUGUUUGUGAAAUAAAUGUAGCAUUGAUACUUUCAGAGAAGUA